UAUGGAGAGUUUGAUCCUGGCUCAGGACGAACGCUGGCGGCGUGCCUAAUACAUGCAAGUCGAGCGGAGCACUUCGGUGCUUAGCGGCGGACGGGUGAGUAACACGUAGGCAACCUGCCUAUAAGACUGGGAUAACUAUCGGAAACGAUAGCUAAGACCGGAUAACUGGUUUUCUCGCAUGAGGGAAUCAUGAAACACGGAGCAAUCUGUGGCUUAUAGAUGGGCCUGCGGCGCAUUAGCUAG
rnacentral:rRNA from 2 species